rnacentral:rRNA from 1 species
AGGGCGCACGGUGGAUGCCUUGGCAUUAAGAGCCGAAGAAGGACGUGACUAACGACGAUAUUCGAGGGGGAGCAGUAAGUUCGCAUUGAUCCCUCGGUCUCCGAAUGGGGAAACCCACUAGCUAAUGGCUAGUAUCCACAACUGAAUACAUAGGUUGUGAGAAGGUAACGCAGAGAACUGAAACAUCUAAGUACCUGCAGGAAAAGAAAAUAAGAAUGAUUCCGUCAGUAGCGGCGAGCGAACGCGGAAGAGGCCAAACCAAAGAGCUUGCUCUUUGGGGUUGUAGGACUGCAAUGUGGAAUUUGAUUGAUUAGACGAAUCAUCUGGGAAGAUGAACCAAAGAAAGUAAUAGUCUUGUAGUUAAAAAUCAAUUAAUACCUAGCAGGAUCCUGAGUAGGGCUAGACACGCGAAAUCUAGUUUGAAUCCGGGAGGACCAUCUCCCAAGCCUAAAUACUCCUUAAUGACCGAUAGUGAACCAGUACCGUGAGGGAAAGGUGAAAAGAACCCCGGGAGGGGAGUGAAAUAGCACCUGAAACCGUGUGCCUACAAGAAGUUCGAGCCCGUUAAUGGGUGAGAGCGUGCCUUUUGUAGAAUGAACCGGCGAGUUAUGAUAUGUUGCGAGGUUAAGCUGAAGAGGCGGAGCCGUAGGGAAACCGAGUCUGAAUAGGGCGCCAUAGUAACAUGUUGUAGACCCGAAACCUAGUGACCUAUCCAUGAGCAGGGUGAAGGUGUGGUAAAACGCACUGGAGGCCCGAACCAGGACACGUUGAAAAGUGUUUGGAUGACUUGUGGAUAGCGGAGAAAUUCCAAACGAACUGGGAGAUAGCUGGUUCUCUCCGAAAUAGCUUUAGGGCUAGCGUCGAAAUGUAAGUAUACUGGAGGUAGAGCACUGUUUGGAUGAGGGGUCCGUCUUGGAUUACCAAUUUCAGAUAAACUCCGAAUGCUAGUAUACAUGUUCGGCAGUCAGACUGCGAGUGCUAAGAUCCGUAGUCGAAAGGGAAACAGCCCAGACCAACAGCUAAGGUCCCAAAAUAUAUGUUAAGUGGAAAAGGAUGUGGAGUUGCACAGACAACUAGGAUGUUAGCUCAGAAGCAGCUAUCAUUCAAAGAGUGCGUAAUAGCUCACUAGUCGAGUGACCCUGCGCCGAAAAUGUACCGGGGCUAAACAUAUUACCGAAGCUUUGGAUUGAUUUAAUCAAUGGUAGGAGAGCGUUGUAAUCAGCGAUGAAGGUGUACCGUGAGGAGCGCUGGAGCGAUUACAAGUGAGAAUGCCGGUAUGAGUAGCGAAAGACAAGUGAGAAUCUUGUCCACCGUAUGACUAAGGUUUCCAGGGGAAGGCUCGUCCACCCUGGGUUAGUCGGGACCUAAGGCGAGGCCGAAAGGCGUAGUCGAUGGACAACAGGUUGAUAUUCCUGUACAAGUAUUGUCGUGAUGGAGUGACGCAGUAGGCUAAGGGAUGCCAGUUAAUGGAUUCUGGUCUAAGCAGUGAGGCGUGGGUUGUGUAAAAUGCAUCUCCCUUUAACGUUGAGCUGUGAUGGGGAAGAUUCUUCGGAAUCGAAGUCCCUGAUGUCACACUGCCAAGAAAAGCUUCUAACUAUACUCAAUACUUCCCGUACCGCAAACCGACACAGGUAGUCGAGGCGAGUAGCCUCAGGUGAUCGAGAGAACUCUCGUUAAGGAACUCGGCAAAAUGACCCCGUAACUUCGGGAGAAGGGGUGCUCACGCAAGUGAGCCGCAGUUAAAAGGUCCAAGCAACUGUUUAUCAAAAACACAGCUCUCUGCUAAACCGCAAGGUGAUGUAUAGGGGGUGACGCCUGCCCGGUGCUGGAAGGUUAAGAGGAGAUGUCAGGAAACGAAGCAUUGAAUUGAAGCCCCAGUAAACGGCGGCCGUAACUAUAACGGUCCUAAGGUAGCGAAAUUCCUUGUCGGGUAAGUUCCGACCCGCACGAAAGGCGUAAUGAUUUGGAUACUGUCUCAACGAGAGACUCGGUGAAAUUUUAGUACCUGUGAAGAUGCAGGUUACCCGCGACAGGACGGAAAGACCCCAUGGAGCUUUACUGUAGCUUGAUAUUGAGUACCUGUAAGUCAUGUACA